CAGCCGCCACGGUAAUACGAAGGGUGCAAGCGUUACUCGGAAUUACUGGGCGUAAAGCGUGCGUAGGUGGUGGUUUAAGUCCGUUGUGAAAGCCCUGGGCUCAACCUGGGAAUUGCAGUGGAUACUGGGUCACUAGAGUGUGGUAGAGGAUAGUGGAAUUUCCGGUGUAGCAGUGAAAUGCGUAGAGAUCGGAAGGAACAUCUGUGGCGAAGGCGACUAUCUGGGCCAACACUGACACUGAGGCACGAAAGCGUGGGGAGCAAACAGGAUUAGAGACCCGAGUAGUCCCUGUCUCUUAUAC
rnacentral:rRNA from 1 species